AUUUUAUGGAGAGUUUGAUCCUGGCUCAGGACGAACGCUGGCGGCGUGCCUAACACAUGCAAGUCGAACGGAGGUUUUCAGCAAUGGAGAUCUUAGUGGCGAACGGGUGAGUAACGCGUAA
rnacentral:rRNA from 1 species